rnacentral:rRNA from 1 species
AUUGAACGCUGGCGGCAUGCCUUACACAUGCAAGUCGAACGGCAGCACGGGGGCGAACCCUGGUGGCGAGUGGCGAACGGGUGAGUAAUACAUCGGAAUGUACCCAGUAGUGGGGGGAUAACUAGUCGAAAGAUUAGCUAAUACCGCAUACGCACUAUGGUGGAAAGCGGGGGAUCGCAAGACCUUGCGCUAUUAGAUGAGCUUGCGUCCGAUUAGCUAGUUGGUGGGGUAAAGGCCUACCAAGGCGACGAUCGGUAACUGGUCUGAGAGGAUGAUCAGUCACACUGGAACUGAGACACGGUCCAGACUCCUACGGGAGGCAGCAGUGGGGAAUAGUUGGACAAUGGGGGCAACCCUGAUCCAGCCAUGCCGCGUGUGUGAAGAAGGCC